CCCCUCUGAGGAUGGCACCUGGAGAGUUUCCAGUCCUCUACCAGUCUGAACUAUGGGAGGGAGAGUGAAGCCGAGGCCUGUCCAUUCCAUUCCUAGCUUGGCCAGUGGCUAGUGAGUGGAAGGCCAUCUGCAACAAGU